AUUGCCUAGCCCCCCGCGAUGACGGGUAUUCUUGGGUAGAUAAUACCAAUGGCGCUGUUAUUGCUUGAGAAUACACGUAGUCGAGGGGAGGCCUCUUCGAC
rnacentral:pre_miRNA from 15 species